rnacentral:rRNA from 1 species
AUCGAACGCUGGCGGAAUGCUUUACACAUGCAAGUCGAACGGCAGCACGGACUUCGGUCUGGUGGCGAGUGGCGAACGGGUGAGUAAUGUAUCGGAACGUGCCCAGUCGUGGGGGAUAACGUAGUGAAAAUUACGCUAAUACCGCAUACGAUCUAUGGAUGAAAGCGGGGGAUCGCAAGACCUCGCGCGAUUGGAGCGGCCGAUAUCAGAUUAGGUAGUUGGUGGGGGAAAGGCCCACCAAGCCAACGAUCUGUAGCUGGUCUGAGAGGACGACCAGCCACACUGGAACUGAGACACGGUCCAGACUCCUACGGGAGGCAGCAGUGGGGAAUUUUGGACAAUGGGCGAAAGCCUGAUCCAGCCAUUCCGCGUGCAGGAUGAAGGCCCUCGGGUUGUAAACUGCUUUUGUACAGAACGAAAAGGUUUCUACUAAUACUAGGAGCUCAUGACGGUACUGUAAGAAUAAGCACCGGCUAACUACGUGCCAGCAGCCGCCGUAA